CCUACGGGAGGCAGCAGUGGGGAAUUUUGGACAAUGGGCGCAAGCCUGAUCCAGCAAUGCCGCGUGAGUGAAGAAGGCCUUCGGGUUGUAAAGCUCUUUUGUCAGGGAAGAAACGGUUGGGGCUAAUAUCCUCAGCUAAUGACGGUACCUGAAGAAUAAGCACCGGCUAACUACGUGCCAGCAGCCGCGGUAAUACGUAGGGUGCAAGCGUUAAUCGGAAUUACUGGGCGUAAAGCGUGCGCAGGCGGUUUUGUAAGUCUGUCGUGAAAGCCCCGGGCUUAACCUGGGAAUUGCGAUGGAGACUGCAAGGCUUGAAUCUGGCAGAGGGGGGUAGAAUUCCACGUGUAGCAGUGAAAUGCGUAGAGAUGUGGAGGAACACCGAUGGCGAAGGCAGCCCCCUGGGUCAAGAUUGACGCUCAUGCACGAAAGCGUGGGGAGCAAACAGGAUUAGAUACCCUGGUAGUCCACGCCCUAAACGAUGUCUACUAGUUGUCGGGUCUUAAUUGACUUGGUAACGCAGCUAACGCGUGGAGUAGACCGCCUGGGGAGUAACGGUCGCAAGAUUAAAACUUCAAAGGAAUUGACGG
rnacentral:rRNA from 1 species